GGAAGUGGGGCGGUCAGCAAGCAUUAUGGGAAAAACUCCCUCGGAUCUUCUGGCUCCUACUCCCACAGCCUGACUGAGUUUAUGAAAACAGGCCUCAUUUGCAAGUCAGAGAUGGAAACAAGAGCGAGAGCUUCACACAGCCCACGCCCAUUCCCAGUUGGUAUGCAGGUUCAAACACGUGCUCACGCGUGCACUACAGCUACAGCACGUGCAUACACACAGCUGCCCAGAUCGCUGUGGAAGCAGGGUGCAACCGAUCCCAAACCCCACGUCUGAGCUGGAUGUAGCAAGCCAACUCUUCAGGUUCCUCCACUUCCACACAGCCACACAGGCUGGUGCCCAAGAGUCUUUGGAGGACACGGGCUCAAACAUUACUCCAUCACCCCACCUUGUACUGAGUGUUGUUUGUGGAGAGGGACAUUGCCUUGGUGUCUGUCACAGGAAAUGAAUGAGACGGCAUAAGUCUUACUCUCCGGAAGUUCCCAGUCAAGUGAGUCAGAGACCGCAACAUCUAGAUCAUCAAUUAUACACCAUGAUUGAUGCUAUGAAAACCUGGGAAGACCUGUCACUCAAGAAACCUACAGCCCAAGUGCCGGUUCCAAUCAGAGUCAUCUUUUUGUUCAUGUGUCACAGAAUUGGCUUAACUGGGAAAUGAAUACUGAUGGAAGAAGAGGGGUGGCCUGGGAAUGAAAAGGGGUCCUUCCCUGGAGAAGUUUCUCCAGAGCAUGAAUGUGUCUGUCUGUCUGAAUAUUGACAAGGAGAGACAUUUAGUGCAAAUCCCGCACUGAGUGUGUAAUGCAUUUGACUCCGAGCAGAGAGCAUGGCAGAGUCAGAAAGUGCUCCCCUGUGGACAGAAGCGAUGCCUUCCAAAAAAGCCGUCUCCAAAUUUGUGCACAAAUCAACAGCUUGGACGGAGGCCAAGAGGCAAAUUCACUCCUUCACUGCCGAGUUAUUUAGGCAUUUAAUGCUUCAGGCAUGAGGGGCUGUGUGUGAGCCGCCAUGUGAAAGUUGUGUAUUGAAUGCGCUGAAUAGGAAAAGGCCUGACUCAUACACACAGAAACGAGCCAUGCCGUUUUCGUUGAUCAUGGACUUUUUGGCUAAGGCUGGACCCUGGAUUUCCUAAGCAGGGGAGUGCUGUGGUGUGAAUGAAGAAUGUCUCCCAGAAGCUCCUGUAUCUGUCUGAACACUUGGUCCCCAUUGAUGUUGCUCUUAGGGGAAGUUAUAGAACCGUUAGGCAGUGCGGUCUUGAUGGAGGAAGUACAACCCUGUGGAUGGGCUUUGAGAAGAAAAGCAACUAAUACAGGAUCCCAAGUUGUUUAGACAUUACUCAGGCCACUAAGAUGCCAAGAAGAAAAAUUCAUCAAACGUCAAUCAGAUGAUUCUAGAAGGUUCUGUCUCACAGCAGAAGAUCCACUCUGUAGCUCCAGUCUUCCAUAUCUUAGGGACAACUUGGAGAUUGUGUUUACUCUUGAGCAUUGAGUCACAGGCAUAGAAAGACACAUAGUCAGGGUACAAAUGGCCUAGACUGUUGUGACUGAAAAUAAGACCACUUUGUUUUUGCAGAGACUCAGAGACUCUUUUCCUUAAAGGGUACAUACUGUGUUACAGAAAAUGAUUUUUCUAGUGUUUUGUUUUGUUUUUUAGUUGAAAUGUAAUGGACAUCACAAAUAAGUUAUUCCAAACUAGCCCUGGUCCUAAGAGCCCUACCAUUACCUUCAAAGAAAGAAAUUAGCUCUGAAAGAAAAAUGUUAAGAAAACUGUUAAGGACCUGCCAACAACCAGCAAAGUUCAAAGACAGUUUCUAGAAAGCCAUGCUUUAGUAGAAACUUCUGGAAACAAGCUCUUGUCUGAGAGAAGUGGCUGCCGGGAAACAUGGGUGUACAGAUCCUGCCAUUUGCUUCCAGAGUGACUUAGGAUGACUUCUGAGUAAAGACAUCAACGUGCAAUCUCAGCGAUGAGUAAAACUGGUAUAGGGUGAUACCUCUAGGAGCUGGACCAUGCAGCUGACACACUCUACCAGGGCAAUGGGAAUUGACCGGCCAGGUUGCCUGGUCCUUGGAGCAUGUCCAUCAUCACUGACUUCUGACCUUAUACAGCUCUCAAAGAACCAGCCAGGUACUGGCUUACAUAUGUAAGGAGGACCACCACGAAAAUCAGUCCUAAUUCACUUUUCAUUUCUCAUUCAGUCUCCCAGGAGGUAGGGGAAGCAAGUCCAACCUUUGGAGAAUAGAGAAAUGCGGCUGGCUAAUUCUGCCCAAAGAUGUCCUCUAGGAAGAUGGUGGCAUGGUACACUGCACCUUAGACAAUCUCCUCUUUCUUUUUCCGGACCUUACUGAGACACCCUAAUUUUGCAGUAAACAUCAUGUAUGGGCCUACUAUGUGCCAAGCAUGCUGUGCUAAAGAUUAGCGAUGAAGAAAAGUUAGCCAGUCAACACACAGACUGCCCUCCAUCUCUAAAGAUUCUAAAGCCACAGAUACAACAAAUCUUGUAUCAAAAACAAUUGAGAACUUGCUCAAGGGAUAAAGGCACUUGGUGCUAAGUCUGAUAACCUGAGUUUGGUCCCUGGGACCCACAUGGUAGAAAAUAGAGAACCAGCUCCAAACAGUUAUUCUCAGACAUCCAUGUAUGCACACAUAUGAACACACGUGCAUGCACGUGUGCACACACACACACAUACACUCAGAAGCAUAGGAAUUAAAAAUUCAAAGAGUGAGGAUUGGGCAAAUGUGUCUUGACUGAACACGUUCACACAUUUUCUCCUCCAAGGACUCCCUACGCAGUACAGCAUAAGAAUGAUUUCAUUUACUUUGUGUCAGGUAUUGCAAGUGAUCCAGCACUUGUUGAAAGCAUACAGGAGGAUGUGUAACGUAGGCCUAAGCCUACUGCAUUGUUUUAAAUACAUACCUGCAGAUGUGGGUACCCACAGCAGGGAAGAGGGUCUCCUAGCAUCUGUGCCAUGGCACUACUCAGCUGGGGUCAGAUCUCACCUUCUACCACCACGUGGGUUUCAGGGAUCCAGUUCUUGGCAGCAAGCUCUUCUUCUUUUUUUUUUAUAGGCACUAAUUUUUACUUUAAUAUGCAAAUUUAAUAACUACCCCAUAAUGACUUCUGCUAAAGCAUUCAUCAGUAGGAUCUCUGACAAAGUUUAGGUAUCACAAGUAAAUACAGAGGACUACAUUUUAUGUAUGGUGAUCUUUGGCACAUUUGUCAGUUGAAAAAUCUCAAAAGGCAAUAAAAAUUCCUCAGUGUGUUACACAUUCUUUUAAUCCUCACAUCAAAGCAUAAGGCCGAAAAAAGGCAGGCUGAAAUUUUAGGCUAUGUGGAACAGUUUUAAUAGAGUUUACAUACAGUACCUUACAUAAAGAACAGUGUGUUUUGCAACUUUAAAUAAUAUCUGGAUGUAUAGUGGCAUGUAUUCUUAUCAAAGAUAAAUUCAAGUUCACUGUCUAUCAGUUCUAAGGGCCUUUAUACAGAUUUCUAGAACUGAUAAACAGAAUGAGGCAAAAAUCAUUCAAGUGUAAUGUCAUCAAAUCGCCUCCUCUUAACAGGCUUUUCUUCCCCUUUUUAAAAAAAUUUCAAAACCUGUACAUACACUUUUAGUUUUUAAAAACAGUCUGUUAAAAGGUAACAUUUUAUGUUAACCACCAAUUUGUAUAAUCUAUAGUAAUAAAACUGGAUAUGUGUGAUAGAAAUAUGUUGAUUAUGUACAUAUGUAUGGCGACUACUUGAUCAAGCAUACUCACUUCUGCAUACCUGCACAUGUAGCACUUCGGCGUGCACACAACUCACACCAGGACUGGCAGACAGUAGGACCUAGGCUCAAAAAUCCAGCAAGAGCUGAGUAAGCAACUUAGUUGCCUUUGGUUUCAUAAAUCUGUCCAUUUGUGAACAAAGCUAAAAUUUGUG